CCCAGACUCCUACGGGAGGCAGCAGUGGGGAAUAUUGCACAAUGGGGGAAACCCUGAUGCAGCGACGCCGCGUGAGUGAAGAAGUAUUUCGGUAUGUAAAGCUCUAUCAGCGGGGAAGAAAAUGACGGUACCUGACUAAGAAGCCCCGGCUAACUACGUGCCAGCAGCCGCGGUAAUACGUAGGGGGCAAGCGUUAUCCGGAUUUACUGGGUGUAAAGGGAGCGUAGACGGCAUGGCAAGUCAGAUGUGAAAGCCCGAGGCUCAACCCCGGGACUGCAUUUGAAACUGUCAGGCUGGAGUGCAGGAGAGGUAAGUGGAAUUCCUAGUGUAGCGGUGAAAUGCGUAGAUAUUAGGAGGAACACCAGUGGCGAAGGCGGCUUACUGGACUGUAACUGACGUUGAGGCUCGAAAGCGUGGGGAGCAAACAGGAUUAGAUACCCGGGUAC
rnacentral:rRNA from 1 species